ACGUCUCUCUGAGAGUGUUUUCUGAGCGCUUGGCAUGGCGCCUGGCCGCAUUUCACUGCUGCCUUUUCAUUUGCGUUAAUUCACUGCGUUUCCUUUCUUGCUCCUUUGCAAGGAACAGAGGGAGAGCUUGUUCCAGCAGACUGGCCCCAUCCGCUCCACCCGGCUCUGCUGGAGCGAGGGUUGGAAAAGAGGGAUGGAGGCAAAGGGGUAUCUCCCACCCCUCCGGGGCCCCGUGUGCCGCCUGCGUGCUGCUUCCCAGCAAAUACGCUUUUUAGAGCCUGCCACAGUACACAUGGGAAUCAGUGAGGUUUGUGCUAUUAGUUGAUCUAAGAAAGGACUGAUGUGGAUUGCAAUUUUCAAGAUCUGCAAGGAGAAUUGCAUGGGUGGUAUCAUUAUGUUCAAAUAGUAAUUUGGGUUCUAAGCCUCUUACAGAGUGCUAAAAUACUACCCUGGCCAUUGGUAUGACAUGGAGGAGGAGACUUGGAGACAGCAACCCUGACACCCUCAGCUUGGUUGUGCCAGAUGUAAUGUAGGAGGCUGGAAAACCUCAGGUAAUAACUUCGACCACAUUCAAACCACUUACUAUGGAGUAUGAUAAAGCCCUAAACAUGCACGGGGCUGGAGGGACAUUGUGAGCAAUAUCAUCCAGAACAGCAAUGGACCUGGCAUGCUCUGCAGCUGGUGGGGAUCUGCAGGACCCUGUUCAAACAAACCUUAUAUGGUGCUUUUAUUUCUUCCCACUGAUGGUGUACAGAACUAGGGAUCUGGCAGCUCUGGAAAUGCAAAAUCCUGAAGUAAUCAUGGUUUUCAGGAUAAUAGUAGGUACUGAAGUCUGUAACUGAAGUUACAUAGUCAGCAGUCCGAGGAGUGCCCUUGGUUUUGCGGUGCUGUAUCUGGUGGGCAAAUUUUUCCCAGCCCAUGACCAAUUCUCCCUGAUGUUUGAGGAAAAGUGCAAGCAAAAAAGCUUCAUAGUGCAAUAACCUAGGCCAUUUUCUACAAAAUAAGGCAAUUAAGGACCGGAAACUCUUCCAAAGUGCUACAAAGACAUGACGCUGUUGUUCGUUUUGUCUGGACCUGAGCCCAGGGCCCAUGACUAGACCUGUCAUAUCCCCACACCUUCAAAGCCAGAGCCUGGGCUGUGUUUGUGCUCUCCUGUCGCAGGGUGAGAGCUUUCCUGGAGCCACCGAAAGAGCUUGAACGCUUUCUUCUGUAAUCUGUCGUGACUGUCAGGAUGCCAAGAGACAUGCCAGACCUAGACACUGGGCCAAAAUAGCUAUGUAGACAUGCCCAGAAAGGAGAGCUGGCACAAGGUGUUGUAUAAAAUGAGAUACGUGAAGCUGCAGGCAAAUAUUUUGGUAAUCGCAUGGGUAGCUUAGGCUUGGCAGAGGGCAGGGCACGUCUGCUCAUCAAGAAAGGAGGAGGCAAAACUUUACCAGCUUGGAAAAGGGUUGGAGCCUGUUUUAGUGGGAACUCAGGGGAGCUUCAAGGGGUUAAACAAAAAUAAUUGCCCCAGAAAGGUUGAGGUGAAGGACUCAGUAGUGUCCCAGGGAGGCCACAAGCACCUUUUCAAAAUAGGUUUUUCCAGGCGACAAGAUCCCAUUCCUGAUAAUGUAUCAUUAUAAUUACCAUUUCAUGGUAAGGUUCAGAAGUGACUGGAGGAAGGACCAUACACUUUGCUCAGUGCUUGUGCAGGGAGAGCCUCCACGUGUCUCUUCACCUCCGUGUUGACCUAGAAAGUUCAGCCUCAAAGGAUGGGAGCGGAAAAUCUAGUCCCUACAACUGGGGUAGCUACAGCACAGAGUCAGUGAGGCAGACCGCAGACACACUGCACUAAAGCAUUGCACCUAAUUAGCUUCUGCAAGUUGGGUAUAUAUAUGCCCGAAGAGGUUGUUACUGUCGCUCACAACCAUCCAGUUCCCUGCUGAAUGUUUUUGAUCAAAGUCUUCCCAAGCUGAUCUAUUUUCAGCCCAACCCACUCAAUACCUUGAUUGCUACACAGCUCUUUUAGCUGCUCUUAGGUAAACAUGCUGUCGCUCCUUGGCAUUUUGCCUUUCUAAGCCAAAAAUACAAGUGGCACAGAAAAUAAGAGAAGCUGUUCUCCUUCGCCAGGAAAAAUUAUGCUAUUUCUGAAAUAAACUGUUUUUAAUACACCUCACUGGCCAUGCACGUAUACACUUACAUAUAAAUAUACUUGAAAUGGAGGUCCAGCUGUUGGCAUCAUCUGCCUACAUGGAGACAGAAACAGAGAGACAAUUAUGUACCUAUAAACCCAGACACAUCUUCAGUCCAGUCUGUAUCUGAAUGCAGAGUUUUGGUUAUGCUGAGAUAUCAGGGGCUGACUCCCAUUAAAAUAGGUCCACGUGUACUGAACUCAAA